rnacentral:rRNA from 1 species
GACGUAGGGCGCGAGCGUUGUCCGGAAUUAUUGGGCGUAAAGAGCUCGUAGGCGGUUUGUCGCGUCUGCUGUGAAAAUCCAGGGCUUAACCCUGGACCUGCAGUGGGUACGGGCAGACUGGAGUGCGGUAGGGGAGAUCGGAAUUCCUGGUGUAGCGGUGAAAUGCGCAGAUAUCAGGAGGAACACCGAUGGCGAAGGCAGGUCUCUGGGCAUUAACUGACGCUGAGGAGCGAAAGCAUGGGGAGCGAACAGG